AACGAACGCUGGCGGCAGGCUUAACACGUGCAAGUCGAGCGAGACCUUCGGGUCUAGCGGCGGACGGGUGAGUAACGCGUGGGAACGUGCCCUUCUCUACGGAAUAGCCCCGGGAAACUGGGAGUAAUACCGUAUACGCCCUUUGGGGGAAAGAUUUAUCGGAGAAGGAUCGGCCCGCGUUGGAUUAGGUAGUUGGUGGGGUAAUGGCCCACCAAGCCGACGAUCCAUAGCUGGUUUGAGAGGAUGAUCAGCCACACUGGGACUGAGACACGGCCCAGACUCCUACGGGAGGCAGCAGUGGGGAAUCUUAGACAAUGGGGGCAACCCUGAUCUAGCCAUGCCGCGUGAGUGAUGAAGGCCUUAGGGUUGUAAAGCUCUUUCAGCUGGGAAGAUAAUGACGGUACCAGCAGAAGAAGCCCCGGCUAACUCCGUG
rnacentral:rRNA from 1 species